rnacentral:rRNA from 1 species
CACGUAGGGUGCGAGCGUUGUCCGGAAUUAUUGGGCGUAAAGAGCUCGUAGGCGGUGUGUCGCGUCGGCCGUGAAAACCUGCAGCUUAACUGUGGGCUUGCGGUCGAUACGGGCAUCACUGGAGUUCGGCAGGGGAGACUGGAAUUCCUGGUGUAGCGGUGAAAUGCGCAGAUAUCAGGAGGAACUCCGGUGGCGAAGGCGGGUCUCUGGGCCGAUACUGACGCUGAGGAGCGAAAGCGUGGGGAGCGAACAGG